rnacentral:rRNA from 1 species
UACAGAGGGUGCGAGCGUUGUCCGGAAUUACUGGGCGUAAAGGGCGCGUAGGCGGCCUGAUAAGUAGGAGGUGAAAUUCCAUGGCUCAACCAUGGAUCGGCCUUCUAGACUGUCAGGCUUGAGCACGGUAGAGGCAGAUGGAAUUCCCGGUGUAGCGGUGGAAUGCGUAGAGAUCGGGAAGAACACCAGUGGCGAAGGCGGUCUGCUGGGCCGUUGCUGACGCUGAGGCGCGACAGCGUGGGGAGCAAACAGG